AGGUGGGGGUCCUGGCCCACCAGGGGUCAGCCUGGGGCAGGAAGCAGACCCUCACCCACGCUCUGCCAUUUCCUUUCAUCUCUCGAUGCCUUUACCUGUUGCCCCCCCAUCCCCUGGUAGCGCCUCCCCUUCCCGGGCAGGGUCCUCCCAGGCCAGGGGUGCAGGGCCACCCGGCUCUCCUGGCGCCCUCCCACCCUCUGGCUCCCCACAUGCCAGCCUCAGCUAAGCGUGUCACUGUGGGACUUUCCUGAAUCCGCACAGCCACCCUGAGGAGUGGAACCUGAGGCCCAGGGAAGGGGCUGACAGCUGGGAUCGGACACCAGGACUCCCACGCCAGAGCCCAGGCUCUUGGCUACAGCCCUUUCUUUCUUCUGAGCCAUCCUCCAUGCUGUUCCCCCGCCUGGCUCACUCUUUUCCUCCUGCUCCUGGGAAGCCCCUCCACAUGCUUCAGCACCCCCUCCUCCAGGAAGCCUCCUUCAACGUCCGGGCCCGACCAGACACUGAGCUCCGGCAAAGAGGGAUGUCGUUGGUCCUGUUGGCCGAUGUGAACCCAGGCCCCAGGCAGUGUGUGGCACACAGAGGUUCUCAGGAGAUCCUUCCGCUGCAUGCCCAGCGUGGAGCCCAAUGCGUGCACGCAGCGAGCCGAGAUCUCACAAGACCUGAGCAGAGAUCAAGAGCGGGACACCUGGGCGACUCAGCCAGCCAGGCGCCCCCCGAUGUAAGAGGACUCUGGGCGGGCGGUGGGGGUGGUUUUGAGACCACCUGGCCUUGUCCCAGUGGAUUCUAUUUCAAUCGCAACCUCCUGGGGAGUCUUUCAGAGACAGGUCGGUGCCCCACGAGGGCUGGUGAUAACCACAGAACCGACGCCACGUGCCUGCUGCGAGCCAGGCCCCACGAAGUCUCCUGGCCGGGCCUCAGUUUCCUCAUCUGUAAACCACCACCAGCCAGAGCAGCGCCCUCCUAGGGCCAUUGCAAGGAUGAGAGGAGCCAACGGUGCCACCCGAGCCCUCCUGGCGGCGGGGCGAGGCUGCCCCGGCUUUUCCUCUGCCGCAUUUAGCUCACUCACAUUUCCUGGACUCAUGGAGCCCGAGACCCUUGGCGGAGCCUGCAGGGCCAUCAGCCCCUGCCGUGUCCCCUGGCCAGGCAGUGUCCAGGGAUGGGGUUCUUGGGGAGUGUGUGCCCCGCGAGGCACAGCAGGCCCGUUCUCACUCGCUGGCCCUGCCCCAUCCCCCAUGUCAGCCCUUUGAUCAGAUCCAUCUUCUUCCCCCUCGAGCACAUGUAGCAAGACCUCACCUUGGGAUGUUCAGACUCUCCCUCGCCCCCUCACUUCUCCUCCAGGAAGCCCUCCUGCUCUCCCUAGUCCCCCCUACCUUGGGCGGGGGGGCUGAGUUCCUCCCUUUGUUCCAGACCAGACCACUUGGGGCUGGAAAUGGCUUCAUCAAGCUAGGGUGGGGAGGGGGAACU